rnacentral:tRNA from 1 species
CAGAGAAUAGUUUAAUUAAAAUUUUAAUUUUGGAGAUUAAGGAUAAACUGUAUUAAUAUUUUUCUCUGA